rnacentral:sRNA from 1 species
GAAAUUCCGGCGACAGCAGGGCAAAACAGGAGCUGAUUCGAGCUGGCAGCGCUGGGCCAUGGAACCGGUAGAGACCUGGACCCCCGGAAAGGUGGCAACUUGGCUGAGAGGUCUUGACGACUCCCUGCAGGACUAUCCCUUUGAGGACUGGCAGCUGCCUGGCAAGAACCUGCUCCAGCUCUGCCCCCGAAGCCUCGAGGCUCUGGCUGUGCGGUCUCUGGGACACCAGGAGCUCAUCCUGGGCGGGGUGGAACAGCUCCAGGCCCUGAGCUCCAGGCUACAGACAGAGAACCUGCAAAGCCUGACAGAGGGACUGCUGGGGGCAACCCAUGACUUCCAGAGCAUAGUCCAAGGCUGCCUGGGGGACUGUGCCAAGACCCCUAUUGAUGUCCUCUGUGCGGCUGUGGAGCUGGUGCAUGAAGCUGACGCCCUCCUCUUCUGGCUCAGCAGGUACCUCUUCUCCCACUUAAAUGAUUUCUCAGCAUGCCAGGAGAUCCGAGACUUGUUGGAGGAGCUGAGCCAGGUCUUGCAUGAGGAUCGUGAGUCUGUGGGGUGGGAAGAGAGUGGGGGUAGGGGCGAUCGGGCUCAGGCUACAUAGCCCGCUCCCCUCCCCCAGUGCAGCCACGUGGCUGGGAUCUGCCACAACAUCCUGGUCUGCUGCCCCAAGGAGCUGCUGGAACAGAGGGCCGUGCUCGAGCAGGUGCAGCUGGACAGUCCAUUGGGCCUAGAAAUUCACACCACCA